rnacentral:misc_RNA from 1 species
UUUUUUUUUUUUUUCCUCUCUAUUUAAGGGUUUGAGUCCAGUAAACCUCCAAGUUUAGUGGACGUCCACCACCCUUGUACUGCAAUGGGUAGUAAGACCACCAAACCCAAGACUAAGGGAUUAAUUAUUUUCUGCCAAGCAUCAAUUAACAAGAAUAUAUAGUGAGACAUAAAACAAUUUAUAAGAUCUUAAUAUUACCAUGUUGUGAUGCAAACUCGAUGAACAGUGCCAGCUGCAAUCAGAGCAAUGGCUUCUGCUAAUACCA